AUUGAACGCUGGCGGCAUGCUUUACACAUGCAAGUCGAACGGUAACAGGUUAAGCUGACGAGAGGCGAACGGGUGAGUAAUGCAUCGGAACGUGCCCGAUCGUGGGGGAUAACGCAGCGAAAGCUGCGCUAAUACCGCAUACGAUCUGAGGAUGAAAGCGGGGGACCGUAAGGCCUCGCGCGAUCGGAGCGGCCGAUGUCAGAUUAGGUAGUUGGUGGGGUAAAGGCUCACCAAGCCAACGAUCUGUAGCUGGUCUGAGAGGACGACCAGCCACAAUGGGACUGAGACACGGCCCAGACUCCUACGGGAGGCAGCAGUGGGGAAUUUUGGACAAUGGGCGAAAGCCUGAUCCAGCAAUGCCGCGUGCAGGAAGAAGGCCUUCGGGUUGUAAACUGCUUUUGUACGGAGCGAAAAGGCUCUCUCUAAUACAGGGGGCUCAUGACGGUACCGUAAGAAUAAGCACCGGCUAACUACGUGCCAGCCGCCGUAACAC
rnacentral:rRNA from 1 species